rnacentral:lncRNA from 1 species
AGAGUGGCUGCUGGAAUGGCUGCCACAUGUGGCUUCAAAGAGAGGCUUCAAGGGGCUGGAUUUACAGAUCGCGUCCUGUAAGGAAAAUCCGCGAGUGUUACUGGGUAUUGUGAUAUGCAACCGCGAGGUUGGAGAUUCCAUUUAGUUACUGGAAUGUGGGAUCUCCGACUACAUGGGUUUAUGGCUGAGGAAGAACUCGCAGCUCCCAGAACAAGCGAGCCAGAUGCUCUGGAGAGAGUUGAUGACAGCGGCAGCAGGAGUGAGGGAGCGUGUUUGGGCCCUGAGGAGAGCUGGUGGGAAAUAUUUUUUAAUAUUUCCUGAAACAGAUCAUUCUACACUCAGGAAGCAGAGAUGAACUGGGGAAGAAACUGCCUUCCUUUUUGAUCCCCUUUUAUUUAGUUUGAAACUGAAGCCUAUUGGAUGAUGUCACGUGAUAUUCAAGGUGGGUCACCCUCUUCAGUUGAGCUGGUCUGCAAUACUAUCGCUUAUGGGUAACGUUUCCUUGGCAAAUCAAAACCCGGUCAGGUUGGUAAUGAAGAUUAACCAUCACAGUCCUGUAAAGGUCAAGGAGGAAUGCAUGACCUAAGGAAAGAGAAAAGAAGCUGCAGCCCAGCUGGGGUGAACCAGUACUGAGGGUGGAAUGGUCCUUCCCUCCAGACAGAUGCUGGAAUGUAUUUCAUGAGGACUCUGGAACAAAAAUCCCACAUUCUAGUCAUUUUUCAUUUGCUGGUAUAGAAAUUGAGGUGAUUCAGCUUGGUUAUCAAAUACUGUGAUGCAUGUGGAAAAUGGGCAGAUAAAAUGGUCCAACUAGACCAUGGUAACAUCUGUCCAAACUAUAGCCCUUAGCGAAAACCUAAUCCAGGAUCAAACAGAAGUCCUGCCGACGUACACAAAUCACUUAACACAGCUUUUAGAAGACUUUUAGUUGGCUGACUGGCUCUAGACUGAAGGAUGAUGAGAAAUCCAGACAUGAUUCUGCUGGGAAUGUGUACAGCUUUAAAGAAAAUGUUAAAUUCCCACUCAGUACCUAUUUAAUAUAUCCCGGCAAGGUCUUUCUCAUAGGCUGCGUUGGAAGCACUCCUGGUGUUCCUAUAUAAAGCAGUUUUCCAAACGGAUUUUAACAAUCUGAUUAAAAUGUG